GACGAACGCUGGCGGCGUGCUUAACACAUGCAAGUCGAACGAAAAGAGGGAAAGAGCUUGCUCUUUCCGGAAUUGAGUGGCAAACGGGUGAGUAACACGUAAACAACCUGCCUUCAGGAUGGGGACAACAGACGGAAACGACUGCUAAUACCGAAUAAGUUCCAAGAGCCGCAUGGCCCAUGGAAGAAAAGGUGGCCUCUACCUGUAAGCUAUCGCCUGAAGAGGGGUUUGCGUCUGAUUAGCUGGUUGGAGGGGUAACGGCCCACCAAGGCGACGAUCAGUAGCCGGUCUGAGAGGAUGAACGGCCACACUGGAACUGAGACACGGUCCAGACUCCUACGGGAGGCAGCAGUGGGAAUCUUCCGCAAUGGGCGAAAGCCUGACGGAGCAACGCCGCGUGAGUGAUGACGGCCUUCGGGUUGUAAAACUCUGUGAUCCGGGACGAAAAGGCAGAGUGCGAAGAACAAACUGCAUUGACGGUACCGGAAAAGCAAGCCACGGCUAA
rnacentral:rRNA from 1 species